AUGGAGCCGACCUUGAAAUACCACCCUUUAAUGUUUGAUGUUCUAACGUUGACCCGUAAUCCGGGUUGCGGACAGUGUCUGGUGGGUAGUUUGACUGGGGCGGUCUCCUCCUAAAGAGUAACGGAGGAGCACGAAGGUUGGCUAAUCCUGGUCGGACAUCAGGAGGUUAGUGCAAUGGCAUAAGCCAGCUUGACUGCGAGCGUGACGGCGCGAGCAGGUGCGAAAGCAGGUCAUAGUGAUCCGGUGGUUCUGAAUGGAAGGGCCAUCGCUCAACGGAUAAAAGGUACUCCGGGGAUAACAGGCUGAUACCGCCCAAGAGUUCAUAUCGACGGCGGUGUUUGGCACCUCGAUGUCGGCUCAUCACAUCCUGGGGCUGAAGUAGGUCCCAAGGGUAUGGCUGUUCGCCAUUUAAAGUGGUACGCGAGCUGGGUUUAGAACGUCGUGAGACAGUUCGGUCCCUAUCUGCCGUGGGCGCUGGAGAACUGAGGGGGGCUGCUCCUAGUACGAGAGGACCGGAGUGGACGCAUCACUGGUGUUCGGGUUGUCAUGCCAAUGGCACUG
rnacentral:rRNA from 1 species